GAGAACUCUGCUGAAGGAACUAGGCAAAAUGGUACCGUAACUUCGGGAGAAGGUACGCUGCUGAUGGUGAAGGACUUGCUCCGUAAGCUAUUGGCAGUCGCAGAUACCAGGCUGCUGCAACUGUUUAUUAAAAACACAGCACUCUGCAAACACGAAAGUGGACGUAUAGGGUGUGAUGUCUGCCCGGUGCUGGAAGGUUAAUUGAUGGGCUUAGCGUAUGCGAAGGUCUUGAUCGAAGCCCCAGUAAACGGCGGCCGUAACUAUAACGGUCCUAAGGUAGCGAAAUUCCUUGUCGGGUAAGUUCCGACCUGCACGAAUGACAUAAUGAUGGCAGCGCUGUCUCCAGCAGAGACUCAGUGAAAUCGAAAUCGCAGUGAAGAUGCUGUGUACCCGCGGCUAGACGGAAAGACCCCGUGAACCUUUACUACAGCUUUACAUUGAACUUUGACCUGACUUGUGCAGGAUAGGUGGGAGGCUUUGAAACCGAGACGCUAGUCUUGGUGGAGCCAAUCUUGAAAUACCACCCUGGUCAUGUUGGGGUUCUAACUCAGGUAUAACAAUACCGAGGACAAUGUAUGGUGGGUAGUUUGACUGGGGCGGUCUCCUCCUAAAGAGUAACGGAGGAGUACGAAGGUGCGCUCAGAACGGUCGGAAAUCGUUCAUAGAGUAUAAAGGCAAAAGCGCGCUUAACUGCGAGACCCACAAGUCGAGCAGGUACGAAAGUAGGUCUUAGUGAUCCGGUGGUUCUGUAUGGAAGGGCCAUCGCUCAACGGAUAAAAGGUACUCUGGGGAUAACAGGCUGAUACCGCCCAAGAGUUCAUAUCGACGGCGGUGUUUGGCACCUCGAUGUCGGCUCAUCUCAUCCUAGGGCUGAAGCAGGUCCUAAGGGUAUGGCUGUUCGCCAUUUAAAGAGGUACGCGAGCUGGGUUUAGAACGUCGUGAGACAGUUCGGUCCCUAUCUACCGUGGGCGUUGGAAAUUUGAGAGGAUCUGCUCCUAGUACGAGAGGACCAGAGUGGACGAACCGCUGGUGUUCGGGUUGUCAUGCCAAUGGCAUUGCCCGGUAGCUACGUUCGGAUGGGAUAACCGCUGAAAGCAUCUAAGCGGGAAGCCCACCUCAAGAUUAGAUUUCCCUAAAGAGCCGUUCAAGACUAGGACGUUGAUAGGCAGGGUGUGGAAGCGCAGCGAUGUGUGGAGCUAACCUGUACUAAUUGCUCGUUUGGCUUGACCAUACAACACCCAAG
rnacentral:rRNA from 1 species